GAUGAACGCUGGCGGCGUGCCUAAUACAUACAAGUCGAGCGAACAGACGAGGAGCUUGCUCCUCUGACGUUAGCGGCGGACGGGUGAGUAACACGUGGAUAACCUACCUAUAAGACUGGGAUAACUUCGGGAAACCGGAGCUAAUACCGGAUAAUAUAUUGAACCGCAUGGUUCAAUAGUGAAAGACGGUCUUGCUGUCACUUAUAGAUGGAUCCGCGCCGCAUUAGCUAGUUGGUAAGGUAACGGCUUACCAAGGCAACGAUGCGUAGCCGACCUGAGAGGGUGAUCGGCCACACUGGAACUGAGACACGGUCCAGACUCCUACGGGAGGCAGCAGUAGGGAAUCUUCCGCAAUGGGCGAAAGCCUGACGGAGCAACGCCGCGUGAGUGAUGAAGGUCUUCGGAUCGUAAAACUCUGUUAUUAGGGAAGAACAAAUGUGUAAGUAACUAUGCACGUCUUGACGGUACCUAAUCAGAAAGCCACGGCUAACUACGUG
rnacentral:rRNA from 1 species